AUUGAACGCUGGCGGCAUGCCUUACACAUGCAAGUCGAACGGCAGCACGGGUGCUUGCACCUGGUGGCGAGUGGCGAACGGGUGAGUAAUACAUCGGAACAUGUCCUGUAGUGGGGGAUAGCCCGGCGAAAGCCGGAUUAAUACCGCAUACGAUCUACGGAUGAAAGCGGGGGCCCUUCGGGCCUCGCGCUAUAGGGUUGGCCGAUGGCUGAUUAGCUAGUUGGUGGGGUAAAGGCCUACCAAGGCGACGAUCAGUAGCUGGUCUGAGAGGACGACCAGCCACACUGGGACUGAGACACGGCCCAGACUCCUACGGGAGGCAGCAGUGGGGAAUUUUGGACAAGGGGCGAAAGCCUGAUCCAGCAAUGCCGCGUGUGUGAAGAAGGCCUUAGGGUUGUAAAGCACUUUUGUCCGGAAAGAAAUCCUUGGCCCUAAUACGGUCGGGGGAUGACGGUACCGGAAGAAUAAGCACCGGCUAACUACGUG
rnacentral:rRNA from 1 species